UACGAAGGGGGCUAGCGUUGCUCGGAAUCACUGGGCGUAAAGCGCACGUAGGCGGACUCUUAAGUCGGUGGUGAAAUCCUGGAGCUCAACUCCAGAACUGCCUUCGAUACUGAGAGUCUUGAGUCCGGGAGAGGAGAGUGGAAUUCCUGGUGGUAAGCGGUGAAAUGCGCAGAUAUCAGGAAGAACACCCGUGGCGAAAGCGGCUCUCUGGAACGGUACUGACGCUGAGACGCGAAAGCGUGGGGAGCGAACAGG
rnacentral:rRNA from 1 species